CAUGUUUCUCUAGCCUGUACAGUAAACAUUAAUAGACUUCAUGGCUUCCGUAUAUAAGUAAUCUUUCGGUUGAAUUAGGCGAAACGUAUUUUAUUUGUUCUACAUAUUUCGGAUACAUCCGAAGCGGAAAACGCGCUUGUUAUUUAAGAGCAGAUAUCUAUAGCUUAGUUGUUGGAUAACACCGGCAGAAGCAUUAUGACAGCAGUGUACUAGCAACUAGGUCACAUUAAAGACUGCCAUUUAUUCUAGCAUAGUGUGCAUAAGCGUUUAUUAUGGUAGCGCUCAUUUGCAACGUGGAAGUGAAUGUUUCGGCAAACGCGUUUCAGCUGUUUUCAGAGCGGCAGAAAACUCAGUCUGACGUCACACUGUCAAUUAGUGACUGGUCUGAAAUCAGUCACGUACACGUCCAUCAGGCUGUAAUGUUAGGAGAAAAGCUAUAUGUGUUAAUUUGAGAAGAAAACAAAGAGUUCUGGCUUGUUAAAAACUUAAUUUUACAUCAUUUUGUCAUCGAUGUCAAAUACUGUAUAUAUCUGGACUUGCAUAGACGACCGAUAUUGGUUUGUGAAUGGACAAUAAGCAGGGUGGCCGAUAUUUACGCAAUGCAAUGGGAUUUUUGAGACCGAUACCGAUUUGUGAGAGGGAAAAUUCACAGAUUACCGAUAUGGUGGCCAAUAUAGCUCAUUUUUGAGCUGGAAUGAAAACAGACCUUUUCUAUGUGGAUUGUGCAUCAAUUUUCCACCGAUAUGACUAUGCAAAGGAACUCAGAAGGCUGCUUUCUUAAACAAAUAUUUUUAUCAAAGAAUAUUUGACAUUAUUAUUAUUAUUAUUAUACAUUGUCAAUAAAUUCUAGAAAUGAACACUGAGAAAAUAAAGAAUAAAUAAAAAUACAAUAAAUAGCUUAAUAAACAUCAGUACUGUAUAAAUAGCUAUGGAACCGGAAUAAAAAAAAAAUUAAAAAAAAUGUUUUUAGUCCCUGCAUAAAAUAGCAUAGCACUUUUGUCAAUUUGCCAAACAGGACGGCUCUGCAGCAAUGCCAUAACCUCAAAAGGCCCAAAUAUAUCAUAACAUUUUGACAAAGCCUGUGAGCCCAAGGAUUAUUGGACUUGGUGAAUUCCAUUGUAGAAACAAUUUGGUCACAAAUCCUGUGAGAUUGUGGAAACUGUUAGGUGCCAUAAAUUAUUUCAGCUCAUCCAACAGAAGACAUGAAAAGAAAGAUGCUGGGAAAGGGAAAACCCCUGAGGAAGAUGAAGCUGGCUAAUACCUUGCUGGAGAGGGAGGUGGUAAAUUAUGAUGACAUUGACGCUUUGCUCGGACCUUCUCCAUUUGGACCCAAAAAGAUGAUUGCUCCUCAAAGCUAGGUGGAGGCUGAGAGAGACAAGCAGGACACGGGUGAAAAUGAGCCGCGCAGACCCCAGAGACUCCGCCGCAAAGACAACAAGGAUGAUGACGUCAACCUGAGCCCAGCUGGAGCUCCACAACACGCAAACACAAUCCCAGUGUUUGGUCACAUGUGGAAGUCAAGGAGUGUGGAGUGCUUGCCUUUGACGAUCUGUCCGAUUAUCAAAAUCGUGCUUUAAGGGAAAAAGCUCAAUGUUACACCUGAUCUGAUUGACCGAGACAUAAUGGCAAGAUGUGUGUGUUGUUGUUCUUCUAGGCUGAUCAUUUUGCCUGUCAUUAUAUUGUAAAUGUCUUUAGGACAUUUGAUUAAGAAACAAAAGCAUCUUAUAAGCAUCACCUGAAGAUGCUGAGGAAGUGUUUUUCUCAAUACCAUACUUCUCUCUCAAAGAGUAGAUAUUGACUGUAGAUAUUGCAGAAUAUUUCUCUAUUAAAAAUAUUACUGCUUUUUGAGCUUGUUUCAGUGCACUUAAUUGAGGUAUUGGUAUUCUUAUCAAGACCAGCUGUGCAUUGCGAGAGGCAUGUCCGAAAUCUUGUACUAUUUGAAUGGAUAUUCAGAAACAUAAUAAAUUAUUACAUUUAGUAUGUUGAAUGCCCAAGUUUUCUUUGUUUGUUUUUGUUUUGGUCUUUGCUUUUUAUUGAGCCAUAUGGUUCUGAAAACUUUUAAACAGUGAGUAUACUUCUUAACUCAUUAAAUAAUACACGUAGUAAACCCUAUAGAGCUAAUAAUACCAAAUCUGCCAAUGCAGAUUAAAUCAUUGGCCAUUAUACAUGAACGUUUACAUUUUAACGUAAACUGUACGUAUUGUAAAACCAUUCUUGACACAUUUGUUAGAAUGGCUUUAUGUAUGAUUUAGGUUUCAUCAAUACGGCCCAAUGUCUCCAUUUUACAUUGAACCUCCACUGUGAAUACAGACUGGCAACUUGUAACUAUAAAGGUAGUACAGCAUUUCACAUUUUCUUGUGAAAUAAAUAUUAAAAACAACAGUAUGUUCAAUAUUUCGAAGCACCAAACUAACACUAAAAUAAUAAUAGGAAUUAUGAACCUAUUUAUGAAAACUUUGUAUUCCUGAGGGGGGAAAGCAAAAAAUAUAUGUACAUUUGAAGCAUCAUUCAGUUGGCAAACUGUGUUACCAUACUGCAUAAUAAAAUGAUCAUAAAAGCUCUUGAAAUGUUGCAAAUGUCCUUAAGGUUAAAUUGCAGGCAAGCACAAAAAGUACUAAAAGCAAAUAUAUUACACAUUAUACAACUCGUAUAUAAAAAGAAUAAACGAACAAUGCAUAUGGAAAGAUCUCACAUUUUAAAAGUCAUAAGUCACUUAACCAGUCAGUUGAUCGGUCUUAAAAUGAAUAUUGCCUAACUAUCAAUGCAGCAUUUUGUUGCAGCAAUAAUUGACCCAGAAAUGAAAAUGAUCUAUAUUCACUCAAUCAGUGUUUGGGACUGACAACCAUAUUCUGAGCCCUUCUAUCAUUUACUCACUCUCUUGUCGUUCCAACCCCAUAUUACUUUCUUCCCAACAGAAUGAAACAGAGAAGAUAUUCUGCAAAUAUUCCAAGGUGUUUUUUGAAGUUUCAUGGUGGUCAUUCCUUCAAAAUAUUUAAAACAUGUAAUUAAAAGCACCAUAAAAGUAAACCAUAUGACUUGUGUGCUACAUUUCAAGUCAUUUGAAGCCAUAUGAGAAUCAGACCCAAGGUUAGCUCUUAGAUUUCACUGGCACUUCCACAUAUUCAUGAUAAAAAAAUUUAAAAAAUUAAAAAAGGACAAGAAGAGCACACUGCAAAGUAACAUUUAGACCACUUAGGAUGGUCUUAUUCAGAAAACAUCAAGCGUCGAAAAGCCAUACUCAAGCAAAAUAAAUGCUCACACCUGACAAUGGGCAUGAGCAAGAGCAAGCAAACAAUUAUCCAAUGGGAGACAGACAAGCAUAACCAGUCAAUUACCUACAAUGAGAAAAAAAGUUGUGGUGAAGUAAAUAUAGCAAAAAGGAUUAAGCACUUUUUACAUUGAAUAAGUUCAAGCUUGAUUAAGUAAAUUCUUCAUUUGUACUUAAAUUCAAAAAUGUAUGCUCUAGCUUAUAUACUGGCAGCCAAAAGUUUGGAAUAAUGUU